GGCAGAGCCAACCCAGAGGAGCUCAGGUGCAUGCAAUACAGCUGAAUGGCCAGGAGGGGUGGAGCCAGGAUCCACCCCUUCUCAGACCUCAUUUAUGGGUUGGCAGUGGGGGUGAGGGUGUCUUGCUGGAGAUUUCUGUGCCUUCCAAAGAGUGAUUCUCAGGAUGGGCAGCUUUCUGAGAGAGAGAGAGAGAGAGAUGGCUACUAAGAAGGCUUUUGCUUUGGCCAGACUUUGGCAGCUCUGGAUGCUGCAGAAAAGGAUGCUGAGCAGCAGGAGUGGGAGGCAGCUGUGUGCUGCUGGGCACAGACAUGGGAGGCUGAUCUGAUCUGAGCAUCAGUCACUCAUUUUAUGCAUGAGGGGAUCCCACUUUGUGCCUGACUCCGCCAAAGUCAUGCACGUGACACCCAGGCAGAUGAGCACAGCAGUGCUCUUCCAGCACGGUCCCCAGCCCUCACAGCAGCACUCUCCAGAGCAUGCACAGAUGCAAGCAACAGGGAGAAGGCAAGACCUGAGGAACGCACUCCAAGCAGCAGCAAGAGUCACCCAGCCUCGGUGAGGCUCUGGGCUUUCAGCUGGGCUGAUGCUCCCCCUGUCCUUCUGUCAGCAGGGCAGGGCUGGGGGAACAUGCUGAACUAGGAGCACCGCAUCUGCUGCUGGGGACAGGAGCUCCCUUCUCCUCCCAUAGUGGUGCUGCUGCACAGGGGGUUGGGAAAGGAUGUGACCUUUUGCAGAACACGUCCGAGCUGGGGAGCUUUAUUAUUCCGUACCCACUACAGACUGAAGGCAGAUUAAGCUGUCCCAGAGUCAAAGCUGACCUCUGCAAUCUUCCUGAUCUUCCUGCCAAUGCUUUGUCAAGGCAGAGGUGGACUUAAUGAGGUGGUUGUCGUGGUCUGACAAAUGGCAGUGAAAUCAAAGGGUACAAAUCAUGUUUGAACACAUCUGUAUCAGCCAAACAAGGCCUCGUGGAUCUCCGAGGUGAGGUUGCUUCUCAGCGUGGUGUUCUCCAGAGAGCAAUAGUGGAGCGUGGAGCUGGCAGGGAGGCACUGGACAGCUUGAAAUGGGGACCGUGGGGUUGUGACACAUGGAUCUGGAUCUGCAGAGGCACCGGUGAGAAAUGCACACUGCUUGGUGCCUGGCAGGACACACGGACCCGAGGGGGCCAUGGUCAUGCCCAUCCCUCAGCUGCUUCCUGAGGGUCUUUUCACACAAUCUUGAGUCAAGAAGACCCAACCUUUCCCAGCGGGCCAUUUGCCAGCUGAUCUGGAAAGGCCAUCUCUCCUCACCACAGUGCCACCAUGUGCCCCUCCUGGCCGGGGCGAUGACAGCCCAUCUCAGCAGCCUCGCUGGGAACUGAACAUGCCCAUGUUUGCUCUUUGUUUUC
ensembl:lncRNA